rnacentral:lncRNA from 1 species
UGUAUUUUAUUUAAUUAUUUAAUGCAAACUGAUGUUAUUAUUUGUCAUCGUGUCUCUCUGUACUUGCUAUGUAUCGUGGAAAACCCCAAAACGUUAUACUCGAUCAGGGCCUUUGCAAUUUCAAUCGGGACCUCAUUUGAAUACGUAUUUAUAGAUUUUGUCGAUGUCAAGGUCAUUUCAAGAUGGUUUCCUUUAUCGUGUUUUAGUUAAGGCUUUGGUGUUACAGACUGCUACAUGUGCUUUGAUAUAGCCAAAGGCGCUUCAAACAAUAUAAAGAUUACUACUUUAUCAAUAAUUUGCUAAAGGACAGCAUAAUUUCAUUUCAAAAGUCGCAUAUAAUUGUAAAAUAUUAAAUACGAAAUUUGUGACGCGUCCCAAGCCGUAAUUGAUUUGGAUUUACAAGCAUUUUUCAUUUUCCAGAAAUGAAAAUAACAUCAUUUUUCGAUGUUUCUUUUUGUGAUUUUUUCAUAUUUAAACAUUCGUGAAGUUUUCAAGAAUCAUAACUUUGCGUUUCCUUCAGCAACUUGAUACUGGUAAACCACUUUUCUAUGAAAUUACUGUUAAAUAAAACUCGCAUGGUACGAAAAGAAGCCCGUAGAAGGUAACGUUUUGCGUUACGAAUUUACGUUUUUAACAAGUUACAAACAUUUUUUUUCUUAAUUCCUACAUCAAUUAUUUAUAGAACAGAUAUAUUAUUUUAUUUUAACAUUGGCAAUGGGUGACAGCGAAUCCGUGAUCAAUAUAUUUCACUAACAAUUUCAAAUAAAAUUGGAAUGAAAAUGGGGAAUGUGCUAAACAGACAACAACCCGACCAAAGAGCUGAGAACAGCUGAAGGCCAUCAAAUGGUCUUCAAUGCAGCGAAAAACUCUCAUACAUGAAGGCUUGCUUCAAUUGACCCCUAAACAAAAGUUACUAUUUCAGUGAUUAAGGACUUCAAGUCAUACUAAACUAAGUAAUUAGAAUUAUAAACAAGAAUCUAUACUGAUAGAAAUUCAUACAAGACUAACAAAGGCCAGACGAUCCUGACUUGGGACCCUAGAGAAUUUAAGCAUUCAUUACAAAUGUAAUUAUAAGGGCCUCAAUGAACAUGGACAAAACUAAUACAUAAAGAUUUUAGACCUGAAUAUAUAUAUAUAAAAAGAAGAUGUGGUAUGAUUGCCAAUGAGACAACUGUCCACAAGAGACCAAAAUGACACAAAAUGUAACCCGACUUGAAAUAAAAUUUCUUAUCUUAUCUUAUCAGACAUUAACAACUACAGGUCACUGCACGGCCUUCAACAAUGAGCAAAGCCCAUAUCCCAUAGUAAGCUAUAAAAGGCCCCAAUAAGACAAUGUAAAACAAUUCAAACGAGAAAACUAACAGCCUUAUUUAUAUAAAAAAUGAACGAAAAACAAAUAUCAUAUGUAACACAUAAACAAACGAUUACCACUAAAUUACAGGCUCCUGACUUGGGACAGGCACAUAUGUAAAUAAUGUGGCAGGGUUAAACAUGUAAGCAGGAUCCUAACCCUCCCCUAACCUGGGACAGUGGUAUAACAGUACAACAUGAGAAUAAAUUAUAAAAAUCAGUUGAAAAAGGUUAACUCAUCAGAUGGACAAAAAUACAAGUGGACGUGACAUGAAGCCUUCAUGCUACAUUGCAUAUAUGUAAAAAUUUUAAAGCAAUAAUGAAUAUUAUACCUAUUUGUAUUUGUUUUUAUUUCAGCUUGAUUCCAGUCUUUGUCGAUGGCUAAUACAAGAAGAGGCAAGGCAUACAUGUACAUGUAUAUGUACAAUACAUGAUUCUCUGUAGCAACUGGAUUGUCUAUUCACCCCUAUAGUUCCACAACAA